CACGCAGGCGGUUUGUUAAGUCAGAUGUGAAAUCCCCGGGCUCAACCUGGGAACUGCAUCUGAUACUGGCAAGCUUGAGUCUCGUAGAGGGGGGUAGAAUUCCAGGUGUAGCGGUGAAAUGCGUAGAGAUCUGGAGGAAUACCGGUGGCGAAGGCGGCCCCCUGGACGAAGACUGACGCUCAGGUGCGAAAGCGUGGGGAGCAAACAGGAUUAGAUACCCUGGUAGUCCACGCCGUAAACGAUGUCGACUUGGAGGUUGUGCCCUUGAGGCGUGGCUUCCGGAGCUAACGCGUUAAGUCGACCGCCUGGGGAGUACGGCCGCAAGGUUAAAACUCAAAUGAAUUGACGGGGGCCCGCACAAGCGGUGGAGCAUGUGGUUUAAUCCGAUGCAACGCGAAGAACCUUACCUGGUCUUGACAUCCACGGAAGUUUUCAGAGAUGAGAAUGUGCCUUCGGGAACCGUGAGCCAGGUGCUGCAUGGCUGUCGUCAGCUCGUGUUGUGAAAUGUUGGGUUAAGUCCCGCAACGAGCGCAACCCUUA
rnacentral:rRNA from 1 species